rnacentral:rRNA from 1 species
AGCGAACGCUGGCGGCAGGCCUAACACAUGCAAGUCGAACGGUAAGGCCCUUCGGGGUACACGAGUGGCGAACGGGUGAGUAACACGUGGGUGAUCUGCCCUGCACUUCGGGAUAAGCCUGGGAAACUGGGUCUAAUACCGGAUAGGACUCCGGACUGCAUGGUCUGGGGUGGAAAGCUUUUGCGGUGUGGGAUGGGCCCGCGGCCUAUCAGCUUGUUGGUGGGGUGAUGGCCUACCAAGGCGACGACGGGUAGCCGGCCUGAGAGGGUGACCGGCCACACUGGGACUGAGAUACGGCCCAGACUCCUACGGGAGGCAGCAGUGGGGAAUAUCGCACAAUGGGCGCAAGCCUGAUGCAGCGACGCCGCGUGAGGGAUGACGGCCUUCGGGUUGUAAACCUCUUUCAGCAUCGACGAAGCGAAAGUGACGGUAGGUGCAGAAGAAGGACCGGCCAACUACGUGCCAGCCGCCGCGGUAA